rnacentral:lncRNA from 1 species
AAUGGUUGAAAUAAUGUGUUUUCUUUUCUUCAGUCUUCAUGUCUCCUUGUUGGCCAUCAGGAAAUCAGGAACUUGAGAUGAUCACCCAAGUAGCUGAGGCCCAGGGUUGCUGCCAGUCCUUAUCUUCUGCUGAGACAUCUGUCUUCAUUACCUCUUCGUCUAGGUACUCUGACCUCAAGGAUCCAGUUGGAGUAGAUUGCUGUUUAAGGUUUUCAGAGAUUUUUUUCCCUGGACAAAGCGACAGACCAUAUUUCCCAGCUUCCCUUGAGGUAUGUGUGACCAUGACACUGAGAUCUAGCCAACAUAAAAGGUCGGAGAUUAUGCAGUACUUCAAGAUCUGAACUAUAGAACCUCCUGUGUGCAAUCCUCCUUGUAGUGGGGAGGGCCACUCUACGGACUUCUUCUCUCACCCUGUGCUAUGUAUUCAAUUGAGUCUGAACCAUUAUACAUUUUUGUCUAUUUAUUUUAGAAUUAAACCACUUCACCAUUGACUUGGAAUAUGGUGGCACCACUAACGGAAGGAGUGAGCUGGGAAGAUGUUCCUUUGGGGUUUAGAGAAUACUAAAAGAGGGUGGAAAGUCUUAUAGGCAGCUGGUAGCACACAGCAGAAUCAAAGUGUAAGAGAAAGGACUCAAUAGUAAAUAGGGAUUUGUGAUUUGCAGAGCAAAGUUUGUUGACACUACAGAAUAGCAGAUUUCUCAGAUGAAGAAAGUGUAGAAAAACGAGUCGAGCACUGUAUCUGAAAUAUGUAUUCACAUUCUCUUAUCAUACAUGAAGCAUAAAAAUGUAAGAAUAAAUAUUCCUUAGCUUAUGUAAGAAGAGGAAAUAUUACCACCUAAACAAUACUGUUUUCAGCUUCGUGAACACAGUAUGUCUUUCCAUUUACCUAAAUUUUCUUUAAUUUUGUUCAACAAUGUUUUUCAGUUCUUAUACAUGUUUUGUACUUAAAAUUUAUCUAGAAGGGCUUUACUAUUUUUGAUGCUAUUGUAAAUUCAAAGAAGUAUUUCCUAGUAUUAAUUUUCAUAGUUCUGAAAAAUAAUUUAAAAAACAAAAACAUUAUUUACCUAUAUGAAUAUGUUCAAUUCUUGUGUCAAUUACUGCUGUUUUAUGUUUUGUCUUCCAAGUAAAACAACCAGCAUACUUCGCUAUAUAAAGAGAACAAUUGUUAAUGGUUUUAUGCUAACUUCUGUUACAUUUAUGUUAAUGUAAAUAUAUUUAUAUAUUUGUCAUAUUUAUAUAUCGAUUCAUGAAGUAGCUAGGAUAACUAAUCUUUGUUUUUCCCGUAAAAGCCUGUUCUGAUGACAUUUAUUUUGUGUUGCUUAUAUUCAAGUCUCAAAUUUUGAUAAAUAAAAG